GUGGCCGAUUGAUGUACCGAUCACUCC
rnacentral:snRNA from 1 species